rnacentral:rRNA from 1 species
ACUAGAAUGAAUGGCUAAAUGAAGACUCAACUGUCUCUUGCAGCCCACCAAUGAAACUGAUCUCUUAGUCCAAAAGCUAAGAUUUCUUCACAAGACGAGAAGACCCUGUGGAGCUAUUAAACCAAACUCACAAAAAUGACCACUUGGUUUUCAGUUGGGGCGACUUCGGAGUAUAAAAACCCCUCCGAUAUGGUACUAAUUAAACUUAGAUGGACACAUCAAUACACCAAGACCCAGUAGGCUGCCUUUCACCUACCUGAUCAAUGAACCAAGUUACCCCAGGGAUAACAGCGCCAUCCUUUCUUAGAGUCCCUAUCGACGAAAGGGCUUACGACCUCGAUGUUGGAUCAGGACACCCCAAUAGUGCAACCGCUAUUAAUGGUUCGUUUGUUCAA